GGGUCCAACCUCCCACCCGUGUUUAUUUUACCUUGUUGCUUCGGCGGGCCCGCCUUAACUGGCCGCCGGGGGGCUUACGCCCCCGGGCCCGCGCCCGCCGAAGACACCCUCGAACUCUGUCUGAAGAUUGAAGUCUGAGUGAAAAUAUAAAUUAUUUAAAACUUUCAACAACGGAUCUCUUGGUUCCGGCAUCGAUGAAGAACGCAGCGAAAUGCGAUACGUAAUGUGAAUUGCAAAUUCAGUGAAUCAUCGAGUCUUUGAACGCACAUUGCGCCCCCUGGUAUUCCGGGGGGCAUGCCUGUCCGAGCGUCAUUGCUGCCCUCAAGCCCGGCUUGUGUGUUGGGCCCCGUCCCCCGAUCUCCGGGGGACGGGCCCGAAAGGCAGCGGCGGCACCGCGUCCGGUCCUCGAGCGUAUGGGGCUUUGUCACCCGCUCUGUAGGCCCGGCCGGCGCUUGCCGAUCAACCCAAAUUUUUAUCCAGGUUGACCUCGGAUCAGGUAGGGAUACCCGCUGAACUUAAGCAUAUCAAGGAACGGAGGAA
rnacentral:rRNA from 1 species